CCUACGGGCGGCAGCAGUGGGGGAUAUUGCACAAUGGGGGAAACCCUGAUGCAGCGACGCCGCGUGGGUGAAGAAGCGCCUAGGCGCGUAAAGCCCUGUCAGCAGGGAAGUAAAUGACGGUACCUGAAGAAGAAGCCCCGGCUAACUACGUGCCAGCAGCCGCGGUAAUACGUAGGGGGCAAGCGUUAUCCGGAUGUACUGGGUGUAAAGGGGGCGCAGACGGCGAUGCAAGCCAGGAGUGAAAGCCCGGGGCCCAACCCCGGGACUGCACUUGGAACUGCGUGGCUAGAGUGCAGGGGGGGCAGGCGGAAUUCGUGGUGUAGCGGUGAAAUGCGUAGAUAUCAGGAGGAACACCGGUGGCGAAGGCGGCCUGCUGGACUGCAACUGACGUUGAGGCCCGAAAGCGUGGGGAGCAAACAGGAUUAGAUACCCGAGUAGUC
rnacentral:rRNA from 1 species